AAAUUGAAGAGUUUGAUCAUGGCUCAGAUUGAACGCUGGCGGCAGGCCUAACACAUGCAAGUCGAACGGUAACAGGAAGCAGCUUGCUGCUUUUCUGACGAGUGGCGGACGGGUGAGUAAUGUCUGGGAAACUGCCCGAUGGAGGGGGAUAACUACUGGAAACGGUAGCUAAUACCGCAUAACGUCGCAAGACCAAAGAGGGGGACCUUAGGGCCUCUUGCCAUCGGAUGUGCCCAGAUGGGAUUAGCUAGUAGGUGGGGUAA
rnacentral:rRNA from 1 species